GUCAAGCUGAUGAGUCCCAGAUAGGACGAAACGCGAGUCAUCGAU
rfam:Schistosoma haematobium scaffold858_13, whole genome shotgun sequence.